rnacentral:lncRNA from 1 species
UAAAUUGAAAUAGCAAAGGAAGGAGAAGUGAAAAGCUCACCGGCGUCGGCCUCCUUCUCAGGCAAACCGAGACCUCGAUUCUCAACUAAACUCGACUGCUCUGCUCUCUUCUCUGUCAUGCUUCUACUCGACAGGGGUAGUGGCCCACUCUAUCAUACUCACCCUAAAUUUCAUAGCCGUCCAAUCUUUGUGUGCAUGGCAAUAGAAGGACCGGAGGAUCGUGCCUCACUAACAGUAAUUUCAUACUUUUUAUCUGAGCGAAAUCACGGGCCGUUGGAUCUCUCUACUCUGCAAAUUGAGACCAUCAGUUCUCCUAGCUGUUCGAUCUUCUGAUCUUUUAGCUCCAAUCACUCGUUUCUAAAUUAGCCCUUAGCCAUUCCUUCGUUAUCUAGAAUCCUAGCAAUCCAAUCUACACACCCUCCUGUUUGCGUGGCUGACCACACGUGCAGGUCAGCUGGCGUGGCUAUCCACGUGGCGGGGUGGGUGUUAUUGCUCAGUCUCAUCUGCUGAGGUGUCCUGCUUUUCUAGAG